AGUGAACGCUGGCGGUAGGCCUAACACAUGCAAGUCGAACGGCAGCACAUGUAUAGCUUGCUCUUACGGGUGGCGAGUGGUGGACGGGUGAGGAAUACAUCGGAAUCUAUUUGUGCGUGGGUGAUUACGUAGGGAAACUUACGCUAAUACCGCAUAUGUCCUGCGGGUGAAAGCAGGGGAUCUUCGGUCCGUUUGUUCGUGAAUGAGUGGACGUCGGAUUAGCUAGUUGGCGGGGUAAAGGCCCACCAAGGCGACGAUCCGUAGCUGGUCUGAGAGGAUGAUCAGCCACACUGGAACUGAGACACGGUCCAGACUCCUACGGGAGCACGCAGUGGGCACACUUGGACAAUGGGCGCAAGCCUGAUCCAGCCAUACCGCGUGGGAGAAGAAGGAAUUCGGGUUGUAAAGCCCUUUUGUUGGGAAAGACAAGAAACAGGUUAAUACCCCGCUGUUCUGACGGUACCCAAAGAAUAAGCACCGGCUAACUUCGUG
rnacentral:rRNA from 1 species